GAUGAACGCUGGCGGCGUGCCUAAUACAUGCAAGUCGAGCGAACAGACGAGGAGCUUGCUCCUCUGACGUUAGCGGCGGACGGGUGAGUAACACGUGGAUAACCUACCUAUAAGACUGGGAUAACUUCGGGAAACCGGAGCUAAUACCGGAUAAUAUAUUGAACCGCAUGGUUCAAUAGUGAAAGACGGUUUUGCUGUCACUUAUAGAUGGAUCCGCGCCGCAUUAGCUAGUUGGUAAGGUAACGGCUUACCAAGGCAACGAUGCGUAGCCGACCUGAGAGGGUGAUCGGCCACACUGGAACUGAGACACGGUCCAGACUCCUACGGGAGGCAGCAGUAGGGAAUCUUCCGCAAUGGGCGAAAGCCUGACGGAGCAAAGCCGCGUGAGUGAUGAAGGUCUUCGGAUCGUAAAACUCUGUUAUUAGGGAAGAACAAAUGUGUAAGUAACUAUGCACGUCUUGACGGUACCUAAUCAGAAAGCCGCGGCUAACUACGUG
rnacentral:rRNA from 1 species